UGAACGCUGGCGGCGUGCCUAAUACAUGCAAGUCGAGCGAACAGACGAGGAGCUUGCUCCUCUGACGUUAGCGGCGGACGGGUGAGUAACACGUGGAUAACCUACCUAUAAGACUGGGAUAACUUCGGGAAACCGGAGCUAAUACCGGAUAAUAUAUUGAACCGCAUGGUUCAAUAGUGAAAGACGGUUUUGCUGUCACUUAUAGAUGGAUCCGCGGCGCAUUAGCUAGUUGGUAAGGUAACGGCUUACCAAGGCAACGAUGCGUAGCCGACCUGAGAGGGUGAUCGGCCACACUGGAACUGAGACACGGUCCAGACUCCUACGGGAGGCAGCAGUAGGGAAUCUUCCGCAAUGGGCGAAAGCCUGACGGAGCAACGCCGCGUGAGUGAUGAAGGUCUUCGGAUCGUAAAACUCUGUUAUUAGGGAAGAACAAAUGUGUAAGUAACUAUGCACGUCUUGACGGUACCUAAUCAGAAAGCCACGGCUAACUACGUG
rnacentral:rRNA from 1 species